ensembl:lncRNA
CCGCCACAUUGACGCUUACCUCGUCCGCGUCCCCUUCUCUGACCGCAGCCGCCGCCCUCCUGCCAGAGCCCACCGGGGUCUCCCCCCAAAAGCCACGCGGUGCGCACCGGGCUGCUGAGUCCAACUGCAAUGGCGAGAAGAGGAGGAGGAGGAGCCGGGGCCGGGGGCGAGCGGGCGGGCGCGCGCCGGGGAGGUGCGAGAGCACGUGACCGGCCGGAGCCCCGCCCCUUCGCCGCUGCGUUGCCGCUCGACGCAGGCCCAGCCGGAAAGGGAAGGAGGGACAAAGAGAGCGAGGGCCCUAGUCACGUGUCAGAAACGUAGCUGUUACGUGGCGUCGGAACGGUUUCCCUGCCCCUUUCCACGCCUCUGCUUGAUCAUGUGACAGUGGCAAAUUCCAAGUUCUCCUUGGCCACGUGACAAGGACUUUUGUGCCUUUCCCUUGUCUUAUUGGUAGACCUGAGUCAUGUGACAAUAUCGGCGCUCUUUUUUCAAUGGCGGUUUUUGAUAAGCCACUACCAGGUGUUGCAGGUUGAGGGGCGGAGCCUCCUGCCGCUGCUAGUUUACGCGCCUGCGCGGACGCCAUCUUACGCUCGAAGUAUGUUGGCGGAAGCGACCUUUAGAGGCAGGCGCUUUAGCGUCCUCGUAGCGGCUGGGUCUCUGCAGCGCUUUCAUCGUUUCCAACCGAGGCAUUCUGGCGAAACUUUGUCCACACUGUCCGCAUCUUCACGAGAGGCCGAGGAGACUCGAGCGCCCAGCCGGAUUGCGGAGCCUCCGAAGAGCAAAGCCGAGUCGGUCGGGAUCUUCCAGUCCCCACUUCGCAGAUGGACAAACUGACGCCUGAUCCAGAAAAAGACCGGACUGGAGGCUUCUCUGUCUUUCGCAGGGCUGCGACAGUUGCUCGACCAACCGCAUCUUGGGGCUCAUAAGUAAAGUUAUCCGGGACCCAGCGCCUUUUCUUUACAAGCCUGGUGUCGUUGUCUCCUCCCGAGCGCUUUGUGAGAUCCCUGUUGUACAGUGUACUAAACUAAAACCCGCUCCCCUUCAGUGUCGGCGUCCGUUUCCUGGAGAAGACGAGAAGUCGUUUAAGACUUAAUGCCCUAAUUUUGGAUCUUCCUUACAAAAACGUAAGGAGGGAGCAGCUAGUUCAGAAUGCAAGAUCCAGUGUCGCCCGAAGUUUGAGUCUCCGGAUGUGACCAAGAAUAGUACAGGUCCCUGGACCUCCGUAUCGUUAUCUUCAAAAUGGUGAUGAUUUUACUUAGAAGCACCUAGCACAAUUCUUUGCGCAGAACAAAUGCCCCCAAAAUGAUAGUUACUGUUAANACCUAGCACAAUUCUUUGCGCAGAACAAAUGCCCCAAAAUGAUAGUUACUGUUAAAAAGGUAAGGUGUAAAAGUAUGACUACAGAAUGAAUGGAUGCUGUACCCGUUACUUUUCAUUUUUAUUUACACUUAGGGUCUUGAACCAAUGAUUAUUCACAUGAUACAAAAUGUCAAAUGUGCAAAAGAAUGUAAGAAAACAGAGUCAGUUUGCCUCUUCCAGACACUGUCCUUGGCAACCACUGUAAAGUUUUUCGGUGUAUCUAAAGAGAUGUUUUAUGUAUCUAAAGAGAUGUUUUAUUUAUUUUUAUCAGUGUUUUUCACGUAAAUGAUGGGCAUUCAGCAUCUUGCCUUCCCCACCCCACCCCAACUUGGAAAUCUUUUUUAAAUAAAGCUUGAGGUUGGAGAAUGUUUUGGUUAAAUUAAUGGGACAAGUAUUCAGACAAAAUUAUCUAAAAUAAGUUUAGAUUGUUCCAGAGCACCAUAACAAUAGAGCUGACAAUUUGGCNNNNNNNNNNNNNNNNNNNNNNNNNNNNNNNNNNNNNNNNNNNNNNNNNNNNNNNNNNNNNNNNNNNNNNNNNNNNNNNNNNNNNNNNNNNNNNNNNNNUUCAGACAAAAUUAGCUAAAAUAAGUUUAGAUUGUUCUAGAGCACCAUAACAAUAGAGCUGACAAUUUGGCUUUAGCCGAAAGUUGGAGAUCAGCUAUGCCUCUGUAUGACACUUGAGGGAAGAUGCACAGUGGUAGGGCAACUUGACCAAGCUAACAGCGCUACCAAGUGGCAGAACAAGGAAGAUUUCUAGUUUUCUGACUCUCAAGUCCUUAGACCUCUUUCGAAAGGGUCCCAAGGUUACAUUUUCUUUUUCGGCCAAGUCACUCAGUUUGCAGGGUUUUAGUUCCCUGACUAGGGAUCGAACUCGCACCCCUAUCAGUGAAAGCACUGAAUCCUAACAGCUCAAAGGAGGCAGGGUAUUCCCAAGAUUACAUUUCUGAAAAGCUGGCUUUUGAGUAUCUCAUUCUUCUAAGGCAGCCCCUAUUAAAUCUCUGAUACAGGGGCAGAUAAGAUCAUGACUAGGCUUCCCUGGUGGCUCAGU